CCUACGGGUGGCUGCAGUGGGGAAUAUUGGACAAUGGGCGAAAGCCUGAUCCAGCCAUGCCGCGUGUGUGAAGAAGGCCUUCGGGUUGUAAAGCACUUUCAGUGGGGAAGAAAGCCUUGGGGCUAAUACCCUCGAGGAAGGACAUCACCCACAGAAGAAGCACCGGCUAACUCCGUGCCAGCAGCCGCGGUAAUACGGGGGGUGCGAGCGUUAAUCGGAAUUACUGGGCGUAAAGCGCGCGUAGGCGGUCUGAUAAGCCGGUUGUGAAAGCCCCGGGCUCAACCUGGGAACGGCAUCCGGAACUGUCAGGCUAGAGUGCAGGAGAGGAAGGUAGAAAGCCCAGUGUAGCGGUGAAAUGCGUAGAUCGGGAGGAAUACCAGUGGCGAAGGCGGCCUUCUGGACUGACACUGACGCUGAGGUGCGAAAGCGUGGGUAGCAAACAGGAUUAGAUACCCGUGUAGUC
rnacentral:rRNA from 1 species